rnacentral:rRNA from 2 species
UGAAAUCUGGCCCUCGGGUCCGAGUUGUAAUUUGUAGAGGAUGCUUUUGGUGAGGUGCCUUCCGAGUUCCCUGGAACGGGACGCCAUAGAGGGUGAGAGCCCCGUCUGGUUGGACACCGAGCCUCUGUAAAGCUCCUUCGACGAGUCGAGUAGUUUGGGAAUGCUGCUCUAAAUGGGAGGUAUAUGUCUUCUAAAGCUAAAUACCGGCCAGAGACCGAUAGCGCACAAGUAGAGUGAUCGAAAGAUGAAAAGCACUUUGAAAAGAGGGUUAAAUAGUACGUGAAAUUGUUGAAAGGGAAGCGCUUGUGACCAGACUUGAGCCCGGUUAAUCAUCCAGCCUUCUGGCUGGUGCACUUGGCCGGCUCAGGCCAGCAUCAGUUCGGCGCGGGGGAUAAAGGCUUCGGGAAUGUGGCUCCUCCGGGAGUGUUAUAGCCCGUUGUGUAAUACCCUGUGCUGGACUGAGGUUCGCGCAUCUGCAAGGAU